rnacentral:rRNA from 1 species
GACGAACGCUGGCGGCGUGCCUAAUACAUGCAAGUCGAACGAGAGCGACCGGUGCUUGCACUGGUCAAUCUAGUGGCGAACGGGUGAGUAACACGUGGGUAACCUGCCCAUCAGAGGGGGAUAACAUUCGGAAACGGAUGCUAAAACCGCAUAGGUCUUCGAACCGCAUGGUUUGAAGAGGAAAAGAGGCGCAAGCUUCUGCUGAUGGAUGGACCCGCGGUGCAUUAGCUAGUUGGUGAGGUAACGGCUCACCAGGGCCGUGAUGCAUAGCCGACCUGAGAGGGUGAUCGGCCACAUUGGGACUGAGACACGGCCCAAACUCCUACGGGAGGCAGCAGUAGGGAAUCUUCCGCAAUGGACGCAAGUCUGACGGAGCAACGCCGCGUGAGUGAAGAAGGUUUUCGGAUCGUAAAACUCUGUUGUUAGAGAAGAACAAGUGCUAGAGUAACUGUUAGCGCCUUGACGGUAGCUAACCAGAAAGCCACGGCUAACUACGUG